rnacentral:rRNA from 1 species
UACGUAGGGUGCGAGCGUUGUCCGGAAUUACUGGGCGUAAAGCGCCCGUAGGCGGCCUGACAAGUUGGACGUGAAAGCUCCUGGCUUAACUGGGAGAGGCCGUUCAAAACUGUCAAGCUAGAGUCUGGAAGAGGAGAGCGGAAUUCCCGGUGUAGUGGUGGAAUGCGUAGAGAUCGGGAGGAACACCAGUGGCGAAAGCGGCUCUCUGGUCCAAAACUGACGCUGAGGGGCGAAAGCGUGGGGAGCGAACGGG